UGGAAAAUAACAUCCAUCCACAGAUGAAUGG
rnacentral:piRNA from 1 species